GAGCCUUCGGGAACGGAGAAAAUUUUCAUAUUGAAAAUAUCGAGCAAAAGAGUUGCGAUCACUUGGAUAGUACCUGUGCGUCGUUUACAGUCGUCUCCGAAAAUGCACGACGAAUUAUUGUGGUGUUCCGAGGAACACGAUCUAAGUCUCAACUAUUCCUAGAAGGAUGGCAGUCCGUCGGAACCGGAAUUGAUUUCUUUGACAUGGGAGAAGUCAAUAGAUAUUUCCUAAAUGCGCAUUUGGUACUUUGGCCGGAAAUUGAGAAAGUCAUUACGAAUCCAAGAUGGGCGAACUUCGAUAUCACCUUCACCGGUCACUCCCUCGGUGGAGCUCUUGCUUCUCUCGCAGCCGCCCGUACCGCAAAACAAGGCUUCCGAUCUGGCUCUCAAAUUAAAGUCUACACCUUCGGCCAGCCACGUGUCGGAAAUGUGCAAUUCGCUCGCAACUUUGACGCGAUUCUCCCGAACACUUAUCGAGUGGUCUUCCGACGAGACAUCGUUCCACAUAUGCCAGCGUGUCACAAGAAUCAGACAUUCAUCUCGGAGCACGAAGGUGGAGCAAAGCCGUGUCACGCAGAGCACCAGGAUUAUUAUCAUCAUGGAACGGAGAUUUGGUAUCCGGACGAGAUGAGCGCUGGAGCACAUUAUGUCGAGUGCCUAGGGGCUCCGAAGAAUGAAGAUUUUGGAUGCUCGGAUAGAAUCAAGUUUUUUGUUGAUCAAUCUGAUACGUACACCUGGGAUCAUCGACAUUAUUUUGGAGUCAAGGUACCACCAUAUGGAAAAACCGGAUGCGAUGAUCUACUUCCCGAAGGAAAACCAACAGUUUUUGAAAAUGUUGUGAAGCGGCUCAAUUUGCUCACAAGAACCAUUGGUUUGGAUUAAUUUCAAUGCUUAGUAUCCACCUUGCCAGCCCCAUUACGAAAAUCUCAAUUUCCCCCAAAUUCUGUUUAUUUGACGACGUGUAUAU
rnacentral:misc_RNA from 1 species